GAUGAACGCUGGCGGCGUGCCUAAUACAUGCAAGUCGAACGAAGCGGGGACGGGUGAGGAACACGUGGAUAACCUCCUAUACGUCCGGGAUAACUUCGGGAAACCGGUGCUAAACCUGCUACUUAUAGGUUGCUCCGGGCUGCAUUAGCUAGUUGUUAAGUUAACGGCUCACCAACGCCACGAUGCAUAGCCGACCUGAGAGGGUGAUCGGCCACACUGGAACUGAGACACGGCCCAGACUCCUACGGGAGGCAGCAGUAGGGAAUCUUCCGCAAUGGGCGAAAGCCUGACGGAGCAACGCCGCGUGAGUGAUGAAGGUCUUCGGAUCGUAAAACUCUGUUAUUAGGGAAGCGGUACCUAAUCAGAAAGCCACGGCUAACUACGUGCCAGCAGCCGCGGUAAUUC
rnacentral:rRNA from 1 species